UUCAUGCAAACUCUGAGCUCUUCCUUCUACAUUUACCUCUCUGCACUGAGGGAGGAGGGACUGCUGUUGGAGACUGACUGAAGGGCUAGCAUAUCAACUGCAGAAGUCUUUCACCAUGACUAUUAUAACCAGCCUGUUUCUGAUUACAGUAAUCUUUACCAGUGUUAAAAGUCAGACACUGACUGAGUCUGAACCAGCAGUUAAAAUGCCUGGAGAAUCCCACAAACUGACCUGUACAGCCUCUGGGUUCACAUUCAGUGACUAUUACAUGGCCUGGAUCAGACAGGCUCCUGGGAAGGGACUGGAGUGGGUGACCACCAUCAGUAGUGGUGGUGGCAGCAGCACAUGGUAUGCCACGUCUGUUAAGGGAAGAUUCACCAUCUCCAGGGACAACAGCAAGAACCAGCUGUAUUUACAGAUGAACAGCCUGACAGCUGAAGACACUGCAGUGUAUUACUGUGCCCGAUAUACACAGUGAGAGAGA